AUUGAACGCUGGCGGCAGGCCUAACACAUGCAAGUCGAACGGUAACAGGGAUCAGCUUGCUGAUUCGCUGACGAGUGGCGGACGGGUGAGUAAUGUCUGGGAAACUGCCUGAUGGAGGGGGAUAACUACUGGAAACGGUAGCGAAUACCGCAUAACGGCGCAAGACCAAAGAGGGGGACCUUCGGGCCUCUUGCCAUCGGAUGUGCCCAGAUGGGAUUAGCUAGUAGGUGGGGUAACGGCUCACCUAGGCGACGAUCCCUAGCUGGUCUGAGAGGAUGACCAGCCACACUGGAACUGAGACACGGUCCAGACUCCUACGGGAGGCAGCAGUGGGGAAUAUUGCACAAUGGGCGCAAGCCUGAUGCAGCCAUGCCGCGUGUAUGAAGAAGGCCUUCGGGUUGUAAAGUACUUUCAGCGGGGAGGAAGGGAGUAAAGUUAAUACCUUUGCUCAUUGACGUUACCCGCAGAAGAAGCACCGGCUAACUCCGUG
rnacentral:rRNA from 1 species